rnacentral:misc_RNA from 1 species
GGAGCUCAUAGAGAACAUCAAGAGUGGAAAUGUGAAGAUUGAUUUUGACAAAUGUUUUUCCACUCAUGCAAUGAUGCCGAACUUGAGACAGAUUGCGAAGUACUUGAGGCAGUUGAUGCCAGAUACUAAGAAAGGUACUGUUACCAAAGAUAUAACAAAAGCAGUGAAAGAAGCUAAGCGAGGUGUACCGUUCAAAAAAGAUAAAACUGCAAUUGUGCAUGUAGGAAUUGGGAAGGUAAGUUUUCAAGAAGAGGCAUUGUGUGAAAACAUUGGUGCAUUUGUACAUGAACUUUUGCGUCAGAAGCCUGCUGGUCUAAAAAAGAGCUCAAAAUAUGCUGGUUAUGUGAAUACAGUCCAUCUCUGCAGUACGAUGGGUCCAUCAUUUCCUGUUACAAUACAGUCGUUAUCGAUUGCAGCAGACCGC